rnacentral:tRNA from 1 species
UCCCUUGUGGCUCAGCUGGUAAAGAAUCCACCUGCAAUGUGGGAGACCUGGGUUCGAUCCCUGGGAUGGGAA